rnacentral:rRNA from 1 species
CCUACGGGUGGCAGCAGUGAGGAAUAUUGGUCAAUGGGCGGGAGCCUGAACCAGCCAAGUCGCGUGAGGGACGACGGUCCUAUGGAUUGUAAACCUCUUUUGUCGGGGAACAAAGGCGCCCACGGGUGGGCGGAUGAGUGUACCCGAAGAAAAAGCAUCGGCAAACUCCGUGCCAGCAGCCGCGGUAAUACGGGGGAUGCGAGCUGUAACCGGAUUUAGUGGGUUUAAAGGGUGCGUAGGCGGACAGUCAAGUCAGCGGUAAAAAUGCGGUGCUCAACGCCGUACAGCCGUUGAAAUUGGCAGUAUGGAGUGGGCGAGAAAUAUGCGGAAUGCGUGGUGUAGCGGUGAAAUGCAUAGAUAUCACGCAGAACUCCGAUUGCGAAGGCAGCAUACCGGCGCCCGACUGACGCUGAGGAACGAAAGCGUGGGUAUCGAACAGGAUUAGAUACCCGUGUAGUC